rnacentral:rRNA from 1 species
CCUACGGGAGGCAGCAGUGAGGAAUAUUGGUCAAUGGGCGCGAGCCUGAACCAGCCAAGUAGCGUGAAGGAUGACUGCCCUACGGGUUGUAAACUUCUUUUAUAAAGGUAUAAAGUGAGGCACGUGUGCCUUUUUGUAUGUACUUUAUGAAUAAGGAUCGGAUAACUCCGUGCCAGCAGCCGCGGUAAUACGGAGGAUCCGAGCGUUAUCCGGAUUUAUUGGGUUUAAAGGGAGCGUAGAUGGGUUGUUAAGUCAGUUGUGAAAGUUUGCGGCUCAACCGUAAAAUUGCAAUUGAUACUGGCAGUCUUGAGUACAGUUGAGGUAGGUGGAAUUCGUGGUGUAGCGGUGAAAUGCUUAGAUAUCACGAAGAACAUCGAUUGCGAAGGCGACUUACUAAACUGCCACUGACAUUGAUGCUCGAAAGUGUGGGUAGCAAACAGGAUUAGAUACCCGGGUAGUC